rnacentral:rRNA from 1 species
AAAUGAAUAGACGGGGACCCGCACAAGCGGUGGAGCAUGUGGUUUAAUUCGACGAUAAGCGAGGAACCUCACCAAGGUUUGACAUCUAGCUGCAGACUCCUGGAAACAGGAGAGCCUUCGAGGGUGCUAGACAGAUGCUGCAUGGUUGUCGUCAGCUCGUGUCGUGAGAUGUACCGUUAAGUCGGAAAACGAGCGCAACCCUUAUUCUAUGUUUCAUGUGUCAUAGAAAACUGCCUGCGUUAAGCAGGAGGAAGGUGGGGAUGACGUCAAAUCAGCAUGGUUCUUACACCUUGGGCGACACACGUGCUACAAUGGGUAAUACAAAGGGACGCCAAACCGUAAGGUGGAGCAAAUCCCCCAAAAUUACUCUCAGUUCGGAUUGAGGUCUGCAACUCGACCUCAUGAAGCCGGAAUCGCUAGUAAACGCGUAUCAGCCACGGCGCGUUGAAUACGUUCUCGGGUCUUGUACACACCGCCCGU